rnacentral:rRNA from 1 species
UACGUAGGUGGCAAGCGUUGUCCGGAUUUACUGGGCGUAAAGGGCGCGUAGGCGGUCCGAUAAGUCCCGUGUGAAAUCCCUCGGGUCAACUGAGGAACCGCACGGGAAACUGCCGGGCUUGAGUUCGGGAGAGGGAAGCGGAAUUCCGGGUGUAGCGGUGAAAUGCGUAGAGAUCGGGAGGAACACCUGUGGCGAAGGCGGCCGUCUGGGCCGACCCUGACGCUGAGGCGCGAAGGCGUGGGGAGCGAACGGG